AGUUGUCAUCAUUGCAUCUGAUGGAUAUUGGUCACCUCGCACCAACAAUGGGAAGGAAAAGAUUGAAGACAAUUGCCGAACAACAUAUCCAAAUGUCUGACACUAUCGCUGGCUCUUGUCGAAAGCGGCCAGUUGCACCAUUCAUUUGUUACAGCCAGCAACAAUUCAAGGAAAUGCAAGGGC